rnacentral:sRNA from 1 species
ACGCGCGAAAGGAGGUGGUCCUAACCAAUGGUUGCUUGUAGGACUCGCGAGGUGACUGUCCGCUAGUCGCCGUUCCGCCUCGGAUCCUCCGCCCACUGGGCAGAGGUAGCCGGUCGCGACGGUGACCGGCGAAUACCAGGCAGUUACCCGGUCCCCGGACCGAUGGACCCGUCCUGUCCGUCGCCCCGCCACCCGGCGGGAAGGUCCGGGGAUCGAUCAUG